rnacentral:rRNA from 1 species
UACGUAGGGCGCAAGCGUUGUCCGGAAUUAUUGGGCGUAAAGAGCUCGUAGGCGGCUUGUUGCGUCGGUUGUGAAAGCCCGGGGCUUAACCCCGGGUCUGCAGUCGAUACGGGCAGGCUAGAGUGUGGUAGGGGAGAUCGGAAUUCCUGGUGUAGCGGUGAAAUGCGCAGAUAUCAGGAGGAACACCCGUAGCGAAGGCGGCACUCUGGGCCGAUACUGACGCUGAGGAGCGAAAGCGUGGGGAGCGAACAGG